rnacentral:rRNA from 1 species
UACGUAGGGGGCUAGCGUUGUCCGGAUUUAUUGGGCGUAAAGAGCGUGUAGGCGGCCAGGUAGGUCUGGUGUGAAAACUCGAGGCUUAACCUCGAGAUGUCAUCGGAAACCAUUUGGCUAGAGUCCGGAAGAGGAAAAGUGGAAUUCCUGGUGUAGCGGUGAAAUGCGCAGAUAUCAGGAAGAACACCAAUGGCGAAAGCAGCUUUCUGGGACGGUACUGACGCUGAGACGCGAAAGCGUGGGGAGCGAACAGG